CGAGGCAAGGGCACAGCCCAGGCCUGGCCCCCAGGCCGUUCCAAGGGAGGAUCCUUCCACAGAGGUGCAGGGAAGCCCUCUGUGCACUCUCAGGUGGCUGAGUUACAUAAAAAGAUACAACUGUUAGAGGGUGACCGGAAGGCUUUUUUUGAGAGCUCUCAGUGGAACAUCAAGAAGAACCAGGAGACCAUCAGUCAGCUCCGCAAGGAGACUAAGGCACUGGAACUAAAGCUGCUGGACCUGCUCAAGGGAGAUGAGAAAGUGGUCCAGGCAGUGAUUCACGAAUGGAAGUGGGAGAAGCCAUACCUGAAGAACAGGACAGGACAGGUUUGCCCACCCUCGCCCCACCUCCUCCUUCAUUUCCAGCCUGGGUCCCCUCACCACUGGACUCCAGGCUCACCCUCUCCAAUCCUUCCUGCACACUAGCUGCCAUUCAUGUGCUCAUUCAAUUAAAUCUUUAUUACUCA
rnacentral:sRNA from 1 species